rnacentral:misc_RNA from 1 species
UCCAACCUUUCGAACUCUUCGAACGAAAUUAGCUCCAAAUCCUUUUCUUCAAUACAUUUUUUUGGAGUACAACUAUCUAACUUUCUAUAAUGUUCCAUUAUUUUGUCUUCCAAUUUUUCUUUUUGUCUAUAUAAAUGAUUCACUUUGUCUCUGUAAUAAAAAUUACCGCAUUAACAUAUUAGCUAACAUAGGAAUAUUAUUUAAAUAUUGUCAUUUUAAAGUACUAACGUAUAUAUUUUUUCUUCCAUGUGAUAAUGUUCUUUAUCUUCAAGAGAAUGAGUCAAAAGUUCAUGAUAUUGGCUAAACAACAUAGUAAUAUGAUCCAUCAACGAUCGUCUAUCAUUAUCUAAGCCGGAAUUCAUAUGCAAUAAC